rnacentral:rRNA from 1 species
AGAACGAACGCUGGCGGCAUGCCUAAUACAUGCAAGUCGAACGAACUCUUCGGAGUUAGUGGCGCACGGGUGCGUAACGCGUGGGAAUCUGCCCCUUGGUUCGGAAUAACAGUUGGAAACGACUGCUAAUACCGGAUGAUGACGAAAGUCCAAAGAUUUAUCGCCAAGGGAUGAGCCCGCGUAGGAUUAGCUAGUUGGUGAGGUAAAGGCUCACCAAGGCAACGAUCCUUAGCUGGUCUGAGAGGAUGAUCAGCCACACUGGGACUGAGACACGGCCCAGACUCCGUACGGGAGGCAGCAGGUAGGGAAUAUUGGACAAGUGGGACGAAAGCCUGAUCCAGCAAUGCCGCGUGAGUGAUGGAAGGUCCUUAGGUUGUAAAGCUUACUUUACCCGAGAUGAAUA